rnacentral:lncRNA from 1 species
UUCAAUUGAAAAGGGAUCCCUGGCAAGAAGAACACUGCACAAGCUGGAGAAGGAACAGCAAAAGCACUAUGUGUUGAACUGUAUACACCAUUCCCAGAAGCGAGCUGUAACUCGCCAAGUCUGGUUCCAAGGAGAAGGUGCAACCUCUAAGAUCUGUCAUCUGAGACAACAAAAAAGAAGCAUGUGCUUGCUUUGGAGAGGCUGCCCUCUGAUGCUGGCAGAAGCUCUCUUCUCUGGAAAAAAGGCUACAUAGUCAGAGAGGCAGUAUGGAAUUGUGUGUUACACCACUACAUAACAUCAGUGCAACUGUUGUGUUUUAAGCAAGAAUCAGGAUGAGGAAUUUUAAGCCUGUUACCACCUCGUAAUAUCUCCUGCAGACCAGAGGCCAUAGGAUAUUAUCCAGCAAUCUGAAAAGGGAAGAAAGACCACCUAAGGCUAUUGAAUCUCAAUAAUUCACAUUCAAGUUCAGCUGCCAUUUCAGAAAAAGAAAUAAUCAUGCCAACCAUAAUUUAAAGACCAGGGGGAAAGGUAAUUAUAAGAAUACCUUCUUUUAGACAGGUGCACAUGGAAUAUCUGCUUUCAAAACUGAUAGCACCUUGCCAAGAAAAGGCCUGAAAGAAAGAAAAGGAAGACAGUAAGAAAGCUUGGAGGUCUCACACCACAUUGCAAAGCAGAGGGGAACAAUACCCUCAGGAAGAAGCAAGUUAUAUGCAGAAGUAUUUAAUGUACAGACUAGAGGUCACAACUGUACUGAGUUCAAACUGAAUUACCAGACUACCACUCAAAUCUGAGAGAAGCUGAGGGAAAAACAAAGGCCAAAACCCCUCAGUAGCCGAGGCCCGAACCUCUUUCCACCAAUCCAGAGGAGGUGAAUGUACAUCUGAACUUCUGCAAGAAAACAGAGCCAGCUUACUCCUUUCCAUUUUCUGUAGCUCAGGAACCCUCCUCUCUCUUCCCUACUUUUCUCUCUUCUUUCUGCCUCAUGGAGAGGAAGAAUCCCACCUCUAACACAUUUUUGGAAAUAAAAAAAAAACCUUGUGAAGACUGGAUACUUGA